rnacentral:misc_RNA from 1 species
CAAAGAUUAACUCACCAGAUUGAGAAGUUUUUGUCAUAAACAAAAAAAAAAAAUCAAAGUAAAAAAAGAAAAAUGCCUCAAAAUCCUAGAAAACGAUGGAAUUUGGCCUCAAGAAGGUGGGGCCAAUGAAUCUUACAGAUUGAUUGGUCUUGAUCAAAACGUCGUUUUCUUCAAAAAAAGUAUGGAGCACCCUCCUAAUUCAACCAAAAAUCUGUCGAUGAAUAGUAACACCGUAAUUUUUACCGAAAACCUAAAAACAGCAACACUUCACAAACAAAGUUAAUAAUAAAAUAUCCUAACACUAAAAACAUGAAAUCCAAUAAACUUCAGUCCUCGGCAACGGCGCCAAAAUUUCUUGAUGGUUGUUGAUUUCACAAAAAAUUAAAUUAACUGAAUUUACCAGUAAUGAAAUAUUUUCUG